rnacentral:rRNA from 1 species
GAGACGUUUGUGCUAUACUAGUUAUUAAAUUAGUAUCUUUUCUAAUUUUUAAGAAAAAAGUGUAUGAUUGGUAGUUUAGCUGGGGCGGCUUCCUCCAAAAGAGUAACGGGAGGAGUACAAAGACAAUUUCAAUUUAAUGUCAAUUAAAUUUGUGAGCGUAAUGGUAUAAAAUUGUUUAAACUGUAAGAUUUACAAAUCAAACAAGAGAUAAUAGCUCGGUCAUAGUGAUCCAGUAACACAGAAUGGAAUGGUUAUUGCUUAACGGAUAAAAGGUACGCCGGGGAUAACAGGCUAAUUGUCCUUGAGAGGCCAUAUCGACGGGAUAGUUUGGCACCUCGAUGUCGACUUAUCACAUCCUGGAGUAGUAGGGGAUUCCAAGGGUUCGGCUGUUCGCCGAUUAAAGUGGUACAUGAGUUGGGUUUAGAACGUCGUGAGACAGUUUGGUCCCUAUCUACCGUAAAUGAUAGAAAAUUAGAUAAAAUCUGAUUUUCGUACGUAGAGG